rnacentral:rRNA from 1 species
UACGUAGGGUGCAAGCGUUAAUCGGAAUUACUGGGCGUAAAGCGUGCGCAGGCGGUUCGGAAAGAAAGAUGUGAAAUCCCAGAGCUUAACUUUGGAACUGCAUUUUUAACUCCCGGGCUAGAGUGUGUCAGAGGGGGGUAGAAUUCCACGUGUAGCAGUGAAAUGCGUAGAGAUGUGGAGGAAUACCGAUGGCGAAGGCAGCCCCCUGGGACAACACUGACGCUCAGGCACGAAAGCGUGGGGAGCAAACAGG